AACGAACGCUGGCGGCAGGCCUAACACAUGCAAGUCGAACGGGUGUCUUCGGACACUAGUGGCGGACGGGUGAGUAACGCGUGGGAACGUGCCCUUUGGUUCGGAAUAGCCCUGGGAAACUGGGAGUAAUACCGGAUACGGUCGAGAGACGAAAGAUUUAUCGCCGAAGGAUCGGCCCGCGUUGGAUUAGGUAGUUGGUGGGGUAAUGGCCUACCAAGCCGACGAUCCAUAGCUGGUCUGAGAGGACGAUCAGCCACACUGGAACUGAGACACGGUCCAGACUCCUACGGGAGGCAGCAGUGGGGAAUUUUCCACAAUGGGCGAAAGCCUGAUGGAGCAACGCCGCGUGUGUGAUGAAAGUUUUCGGAUCGUAAAGCACUUUCGACUGGGACGAAAAACCUUUGGCUAACAUCCAGGGGCCUGACGGUACCAGGAGAAGAAGCACCGGCUAACUC
rnacentral:rRNA from 1 species